UACCAGCACCCCGAGUGGUCGGGACGAUUAUUGGGCCUAAAGCAUCCGUAGCCGGUUCUACAAGUCUUCCGUUAAAUCCACCUGCUUAACAGAUGGGCUGCGGAGGAUACUAUAGAGCUAGGAGGCGGGAGAGGCAAGCGGUGCUUAGUGGGUAGGGGUAAAAUCCGUUGAUCCAUUGAAGACCACCAGUGGCGAAGGCGGCUUGCCAGAACGCACUCGACGGUGAGGGAUGAAAGCUGGGGGAGCAAACCGG
rnacentral:rRNA from 1 species